GACGAACGCUGGCGGCGUGCUUAACACAUGCAAGUCGAACGGAAAGGCCCUGCUUUUGUGGGGUGCUCGAGUGGCGAACGGGUGAGUAACACGUGAGUAACCUGCCCUUGACUUUGGGAUAACUUCAGGAAACUGGGGCUAAUACCGGAUAGGAGCUCCUGCUGCAUGGUGGGGGUUGGAAAGUUUCGGCGGUUGGGGAUGGACUCGCGGCUUAUCAGCUUGUUGGUGGGGUAGUGGCUUACCAAGGCUUUGACGGGUAGCCGGCCUGAGAGGGUGACCGGCCCCAUUGGGACUGAGAUACGGCCCAGACUCCUACGGGAGGAAGAAGUGGGGAAUAUUGCACAAUGGGCGGAAGCCUGAUGCAGCAACGCCGCGUGCGGGAUGACGGCCUUCGGGUUGUAAACCGCUUUCGCCUGUGACGAAGCGUGAGUGACGGUAAUGGGUAAAGAAGCACCGGCUAACUACGUG
rnacentral:rRNA from 1 species